rnacentral:rRNA from 1 species
AGCCAGGUGCUCUCACACUUGGUUAUUUCUGCUCAAUGGGUAACUAAAUAGCCGCAGUACCCUGACUGUGCAAAGGUAGCAUAAUCAUUUGGCUUAUAAUUGGAGUCUGGCAUGAAGGAAACCAUGGGUAGUAACUGUCUUCUAUAAAGUAUUAGAAUUUACUAAAUAGGUGAAAAUACCUAUAAAAUAAUAACAGACGAGAAGACCCUAGAAAUUUUAUAUAAAAGUAUUUUUUUUUCCUUACUAUUUUGUUGGGGCGACAGAAUAACAGUUGAACUUAUUUUAUUAUAUUUGUACUAAUUUUUGAGUAAAAUUAAAUUACUCUAGGGAUAACAGCAUAAUUUAAUUAAAGUUUGUGACCUCGAUGUUGGACUAGGGUUUUUAAUAAUCAGAAGUUAUUAAACUAGGCUCUGUUCGAGCUUCAUUCCCCU